rnacentral:rRNA from 1 species
UACGUAGGGUCCGAGCGUUGUCCGGAAUUAUUGGGCGUAAAGGGCUCGUAGGCGGUUCGUCACGUCGGGAGUGAAAACUCGGGGCUUAACCCCGAGCCUGCUUCCGAUACGGGCAGACUAGAGGUAGGCAGGGGAGAGCGGAACUCCUGGUGUAGCGGUGAAAUGCGCAGAUAUCAGGAGGAACACCGGUGGCGAAGGCGGGUCUCUGGGCCGAUACUGACGCUGAGGAGCGAAAGCAUGGGUAGCGAACAGG